UAUUUUGUUUUCUAAAUCCAAAACUUUGAAUGUUAAAAACUGCACCGCAGUUAAUAAUAACAAUAUGUAUGUAUAUUUAUAUAUUUUUGUUAUUAAUUAUUAGAACCGCAUCGCGGUGUUUCGCGUUAUUCGAACCUAAUAAAUUUUGGACUGCGUAUGUCUGCGUUUUCUUUCUCUUUCGUUUCUUGUUAUGUGAUUGUGUUAACAUCUUCUCUUUUUUAUUCUAACAUUACAAUCUUUCAAGUUUUGUGUUACGGUACAUUUAUGCUAGUGCUGAUUUGUUUACGGUACUUUCUUUUUGUCAACGUUAUGAAUAUAUACCACACGAUCUUGUUUGUUAUUUUUUAAGUGACCAAUAAUUUCUAGUGCUUUACCUUUUUCGCUUUUAUCUAUUAAUUUCUGUCACUAACUUAUAUUUUUUUAUGGUAGGGCUGAUUUGAUCUACUGUUUUGUUUAUUAAAUUUUAAAACAUGCCUCCAAUAACAUAGCUCUUGAAAGCACAAAAGAGAUAAAAGAAAGAAAAAGCUAAUGCUUUAGUGAAAUCACUACAAACUCUGUAAACAUGUUUCUUGCAAAAUCUGCCAAUUUUAUUGAAUCCGCUAGAAUUAAUUUAUGAAUUUUGUGAUCCACUGGAAGAUGAGUAUGAGAAUUUUUUUGAGAAUUUUAAUUAAGAAGAUAAGGAUGAUUACAUUGAAAAGGAUAAUAAUCCAAGUGAUAAAGAAAUAAAGAUAUGAAUGAUCAAAAGAAUAAGGAACGGGAGAGUGUUAUCCAAGCUCAUAAUUUAUUUAUCAAUAUUGUUGAUGCUUCUAUUUCAGUCGCCCCAUAUAAACGAAGCUUUUCCAAAUUAAGGUUAAUAAAGUUGUAUCUGCGAUUAAUUAUCAUGUUACUAGAAAGAUUGAAUGAUUUAGCAAUGAUAUAUAUACAAAGAGAACAACUUAAAAAUCUAGACUACGAAAAUUUGGUAAAAGAGUACUGAAAAAUAAAGAAAAAACCAAGUAGAAGUGACCAUUAGUUAGAAAGGGAUAUUUAGGGCUGCAAGGGUCAUGGAUGUGGUCAUUAUGCAAAUGAGUCUCCUAAUAAGGGAAUCAUGGUUCUUUUGGACAAUGGGAAAAUUGAGACUGAAGACGGAUGAGUGUCCAAUUCUGUGUCUUCAGUGAGGAACCACCAGCCAAAGGCGACCUACUGGUUGCACGAAAGAGUUUGAGUGUUCAAACUGGUGUGGAAGAGAAGGAGCAGAGGAAAUAUUUUUGUUCCGUACUCGAAGAAAAGUAGAUAAAGUGUGUAGUUUCAUCAUCUAUGGUGGGAGUUGUACCAACGUGGCCAGUUACACCAUGCUCAAAAAAAUUGGUUUGGAAAGAGGAAAACACUUAUAUGUUGCAAUGGCUGAACAACCUAGGAGAUAUGAAGGUCACCAUACAGGUGAUUGUUCGUAUGACCUUUGAAAGAUACCAAGAUGAAGUUUUGGUGAUGUAUUGUCUUUGAAGAGAUUGACGAAAGUCGGAAAAUGGCAAAAAAAAAAAGAAAAAAAUUUGGUAAAAAAGGAAAAAGAAUGAUGACUAUUAAGUUGAUAUAUUUUAUCAUAUUUUCAAUUUGUUGCCCUGCAAGGAUUAAGACCAUACUUUUGUAAAAUAUUGAUAAAUAAAUUUAAAAUUUCCUGAAAACAUUUAUUUAAAACUAUUAUUUGACGGGUCCAAGAAUCAAAUCGUGCCUAUAAAAUCUAGUGUUGAAAAUAGGUUCAAUAUAAUCGGCCCAUCAAAAUGGAAAGCAUAACAAAUGUUGUACCAACAUACAAAUCUCAACUCUCUCUUUGUUCUCGAAAUGAAAUGAUCUCAGCAUGCAAACUCUUUUCCUUGCCCCUGAUAUCUUUUCCAGGCAAGUCUCCGAAGCUUUUUCCCUUAAAGGCCUUUCCUUCUCAAACAGGUGAAGUUCAAGAAAGUGAACGCCUGUUUAAAAAACUUCCACCUUCUAAAUGGGGCGAUCACUUCCUCUCUGCUCAUGUGGAUGCAUCGGAAAUGGACACGCUUGAGAGAGAGAUUGAGGCAGUAAAGCCAGUGGUGAGUGGCAUGAUCAUGUCUUCCCAAUGCCUGGAAUCGACUAAGAAGAAAAUCCUUAUGAUAUAUUUGCUAGUGAGCCUAGGUCUGAUGUAUCUCUUCGAGGACGAGAUCGAGGAGUGUCUAAAAGAGGGUUUUGGAAAGAUAGAGGAUAUGUUGGCCGGUGAAAAUGAUUUGUACACAGUCUCUACAAUCUUCUGGGUUUUCAGAACAUACGGUUACAACAUUUCUUCCGACGUGUUUGAGAGAUUCAAAGGGGGAAAUGGAAAUUUUAAGGAAUGUCUAAUCGAGGAUGCCAAGGGUAUGGUGAGCUUGUAUGAAGCCGCUCACUUGGGGACAACAGCAGAUUAUAUAUUGGACGAAGCUUUGAGCUUCACGACAAUAAAGUUAGAGUCAUUAGCUGAAACUGGAGCAAUUUCUUGUCAUAUCUCAACGCGUAUACGAAAUGCUCUUUGCAUGCCUCAGCAUUUUAAUGCCGAAAUGGUAUUCACAAGGGAAUACAUUUCAUUCUAUGAACAAGAAGAAUAUCACAACAAGAUGCUACUGAAAUUUGCUAAGCUCAAUUUCAAGUUCUUGCAGCUGAAUUGGAUUCAAGAACUGAAAACUUUCACCAAAUGGUGGAAGCAGUACGAUUUUGCAUCUAAACUCCCACCAUAUUUUAGGGAUAGGAUGCACGAGUGCUAUCUUUAUGGAUUAAUGAUAUAUUUCGAGCCCGAUACUCGCGAGGGAGAACUGCAGUUUUUAAAUUAAGCACGGUCUGGACCAUGAUUGACGACACAUGUGAUAGAUAUGGGUCUGUUUUGGAAGUUGCAGAUCUUGUUCAUUGCGUUGAAAGGUGGGCUCCAGAUUGCGCAGACAGUUUACCAGAAUAUAUGAAAACCGUUUUCAAGUUUGCUUGGAAUGUUUUCAAAGAGUGUGAAAGCGAGGGCAUAUCUGAAGAAGGCUUAUCAUUCAAUGUGCAAGGUUUACUUGAAGAG